GGAUCCUGGGACGGGUCGACGCGCGGAGUCCCCUCCCCUAAACGACGCCGUUUUUGGAGCCACUGAAUCAAGCCCAAAACGACGCCGUAUUCAAACCUUUAAAAGAGCCAAAAUUUGGCUAUUCAGCCAUUUUAAACCCUAGCCCCCAUUUUGCUUUACCAGCCGACCUUUAGCUAAAUCAUUUGGCCCUCGCCUCCAUCGUCCCCAACCGCAGGCACAUUCUCCUUUUGAAAACAAUUUUCAACCUCGAGACCCCUCCUUCACCCUAGAUUUCAACGAAGCAAGGAGGAGUCAACGGCAGAUUCGCGAGGUAAGCCUCCUAUUCUCUUCUCUUUUUGAAUAUCAGAAUCACAAAUCCAAAAAGAAAAACUAAAGAAAAUAAAGUAUUUAGGGAUUUUUUGAAUAAAAAAUCACCUUGCUCUUUUUUUUGAUUGCUUUGUAUUGCUUCUCUGUGCGUAACGUUUACAAAGAUUAAAAUCAUGGCUUUAUAGCCGAAAAAAAAAAGAAAAAUCAAUGAAAAAAAUACCAUAUUUUCUUUGUUUGUAUUAGCUGCUGUGGUUUGUCUGUUCUUCGCAGGUACGGGGUGCGUAGGCAUCAUACGGAGGUUGUGUUGGCGCUGGCGUGGUUGCUGGAGGGUACGGAGGCUAGGGCUGCUGCGGCGCAAGCAGAAACUACUAAGGUUUCUGCCUUGGCUCUUGUUUUAGGCAUUGGGCCUAUGUAUUAGGUUUUGGGUCUAAGCAAUGGGUUUGGGCUAGGGUAUUAGUUAUUGGGUUUUGGUUUGUAAAUGGACAUUUAAUUAAUGGACAGUUAAUUUUUUUGUUUAUUAUUAUAUAUAUAUUUUUAUUUUAGACUUUGGUUCUGACGUGGGCCCAAGCAAAUUGGCUCAUUUACACCUCAACUUGAGUUUUUCAAAAAUAGAUAAAGUUAUUAAAUUAAUACUAGCUCGUCGCAUAGUGCUCUAUUAAAAUAAAUGCUCCCAAUCUCUAUUGGAAUUGUAAAACUUCUCCGGUCUUUUAAUUUUUGGGGAACCUGCCUUGAAAUAAUAACACUACAAGAGGCACUAAAAUUAACUUGUUCUCCUACCUUAAUUUUCCUAUGCUUAGACAUAAUUUCAUUUAAAAACUUGGCGUACUUAGGGACUUUCUUAAUUAACUCAAUUAAAGGAAGAUUUAUUUUUAGUGUUUUGAACAAGUUCAGGAAACUUACAAACUCAUCUUUAUCCCGUUUUUGCUUUUAUUCUAGUCUUGAAAGGAAUGGGACUUUUGUAACAACAACAUUUUUAGCUUUUUCUUUCUGUGGCCCCUCUGUCGACACAAUUACCUCAUUUAAUUCUGGUUCAUCUUCAGCCUCUAGGGAUUUUUCUGGAGGAUCAUCAGAAUUCUUCAUAUUUACCUUUAAAGUAAGAUUUUCUUGACUACUCAGUACUUCGCCCGAUUGGAGUGCUAUUGCUUCACAUGCUCCUUACUUUCCCUCCAAGGAUUAUUUUCUGUAUUGUUGGGGAUUCAGGUGCCAAUUUGCCUUUUGAUGUCACCCAUCGUUCUCAUUAAUUAGCUUAUUUGAUCCUCAAGUUUAGUCAAUGUUUUGGUUGAGUUGGUGCACUUAGACUGCACCUACUUUAUGUCUAUUUUCGUUGACUUCAUCUCUCAUUCGAUUCUAUACAACCAUUGACCACAUGCAAUAUGGUCACUUGGGUUGACCCUAUCCUAAGAUUUCUACAAAUAAGGAGGUUGAUAAUUAGUAUUUUUUGCUUGAUUCAAACUAUUACCUCCUUUUUGGUUUCCUCCCUAUCUCAGAUUUGGGUGAUCUAUCUAGUAGGAUUAUAGGUAUUUGAAUAAAGGUUUCCACCCCUAUUUCUGAUAUAAUUCACACCUUUGGCAGGAUUGUUAAUGUAGUGAAAAAGUAGUUUGUCUUCUCCAUACAUAGACGGUUUAUUAGCAUAUUUGAUACGGUUAAGUCUAUCUGCUAGCUUAAUACUUGCCAUCCUCUUGGAUAACUUUCACCGUGGCAGUUUUCUAGCCAUAUGUGAAUCUUCCAAUGGGCUAUUGAUAAUAGUUCAGCUCCAUGUUUUCAAUUAUUUCAAACACAUCUUCGUAUGUUCUGUUCAUGAGGGCUCUUUCUGUUGCUCUUUCAAAUCUUGAUCUUGCAUUCGCAUCCAACCCAGUAUAAAACACUUGCAGUCGCAUCCACUCAGAGAAUCUCUAGUGUGGGCACUUUUGAAUCAACAUUUUGAAGUGCUCCUAUACCUUAUAGAAACUUUCCCCUUCCAUCUAUCUAAAGACAACAAUCUCUCUUUUUACUUGAACCACUUUGCUAAUAGGGAAGAACUUUUGCAAGAACUUUCUAGGAAGCUCGUCCCAUGUCCUAAUAAACCUUGGUGCCUGAGAAUCUAAACAGUAAAAGGCAUUAUCAAUCAAAGAAAAGGGAAAAAACCAAAUAUAAAUAGCAUUAUCAAUGACCUCGUUGUACUUAAAAGUAUCACACAAUUGGAGAAACCGUUUUAAUUGUUGAUUUGAAUCCUCUGUCAUUAUGCCCCUAAAUUGCAAGUUAUUCUAGAUCAUCUGAAUCAUUGUCAGUUUAAUCUCAAAAUUAUUUGAUGUAAUAUUCAGCCUUGUUAUACUUUCCUUAACCAUGUCUAGACUUGGUAAUGCGUUGUCUCUUAAGGUUCUCACGUUACGAGUCAUGUGCACGUUCACAGGUAGUGGUGUUGGUGCUGGUUGAUUUUGCAUCUACUGCUACUAAUGUUGCUGUCAAAGAUUUCUUUAGAUUAUUCUCUCUAGAUCUAUGACUGCUACAAUAGGUGUGCCUCUACUACGAGUCAUACACUAAACCCAAAAAGAGAAUCUUAGGGGUAAUAAAUAAAAUAAAAUUGUUUUUAUAACCUUAAAAUUUUCUAUUUAUUCUUUCUGAAGUGCAGAUUUUAAAAUCAAAGCAGUUACGUUGCCUCCUUGGCAACAGUGACAACAACUUGACUGUAUCCGGACAUACUCACGUCUAGAGUGUGAAUACUAUAGCAAAAAAUAGAGAUAUAUGAGGCGAUAUCUGCAAGUAUAAGGAUCCAGUUGUAAUAUAGUUACAAUGAAGUAGGUGAGUAAUUCGAGGAUCAUACCCAAGGGAGGCGAGUGCUAGAUCAAUUUUAAUCUAAACACCAAAAGGUCUAAUUAGUACUUUAAGUUAGUUAUAGUACAAUAGUAAUGAAAGAAAGUUUUUAAGAUUUUUUUAUGAUAACAAAAUAAAAUAACAUAAAGAAAUAAAAUUCAAGAGAUUAGAGAAUGGGAUAAAUCAAAUCUGAUUAUGGGUGAUUAGCUCGUUGUGGUAUUUCCCAUCAAAUUCUCUUUUAGUUCCUCGUCAAUUAACUCAUCACUAUCCCAACAAGAUCUUCCAAUUUUUGACUCAAAUAACGAGUCAGUAAGAACUACUUAUCUUCCGUCCUCACAGUCCAAACUGGUUUGGGGUGAAGGUGUUUAUGGCCAAACCAAUUUUAGGUUAACUCCCACCUUGGUUACUUCCCAAGGUUAUCAUCCCUAAGGUUUUAAGUUCUUCCUUUCCCAAAUAGAUAAUCCAUUAAGUAACCCGACAAAAUAGUUAAUGGAUGAUACCUCCACUCGCUAAUCCCCAAUAAAAGGACUAGUUCCUCAUGGAUUUCAUAAACAAUAUGGAAUUGAUGUAAAGAGAAAACAUGAUAAAUGAACUGAAGUAUAGAGUUUAAGAAAACACCUGAUUUGUAUUAAAAAUAAAUCAAAUUCACAGAGUUUGACUAUCUCCACAAGUCAGAUCUCUUAAGAUAAACAAGAGCAACUUCAAGAAUAAAUCAAAAACCUAAAAAGGAAGAAAAGCUAAACUGAAAUAAAAAGCAGAAAACUAAGCUAAGUAAUUGGUGUCUUUUACAGGUGACAAAUGAGACUAUUUAUAAAUCUCAAUUGGUCAUCGUCCUUAACCAUAGGUUAGAUGACGUUCCCAAGCUUUAAGUUUCAUUGUGCAGACUAAAACGCCCCUUGGCUCGUGUUAUUUUCUGUCUAAAGUCGAUGUCACAACACUCUCGGACCUGUUUCAUGCCAUAAGAGUCAAUAUACUCCUCUUUGGGAUAUCUUUAGGGGUAUGUCGCAACACCAUUAAGCUGUGUUGUGACAUUGAAGGUAAUUUCGUGAUUUCUUCAUUCUACUCCUUAUGUUGCGACAUUGAGCAUUCUGUGUUGUUACAUAUUGACCAAUAUCUAUUUUGUAACAGCCCGUUUUUUAGUGAAAUCGGAAUAGUGGUUUCGGGCCACAAAUCUGAUCCAAAAUAUAUUUUAAUUUUAUUUUACCAUAUAGCCCGUAAUAUGAUAGAAAUGACGUGUGAAAAUUUUGAUAUGAAAAUUUUAUCGAUUUAGUGCCUAAUUACAAGAAGAACUAAAUCGCAUAAAAUGUGAAAGUUGAAUUCUAGUAGCUAUGAGGAUCAAAUAGCUAUGGAAUUCAAAACUUAUAGCACAUUUGGUUCACUGUAAUGGAAUAGGGCUGUAAUUGAAUAGAGCUGUAAUGGAAUAGAGCUGUAAUAAGUAAUUCUACUUUUUGGUUGAAUGGAAUGGAAUAGAACUGUAAUAGUAUUCUUGUGUUUGGUUGAAUGGAAUGAUGUUGUAAUAGGAUAAGAAAAAAAACUAAAAUGACCAAAAUACCCUUAACAGAAUUUUUUUUGUUAGGCAGAUGAUUAUUAUUAUUAUUAUUAUUAAAUUUUAACAAGACUAUUAUUAAAAAUAAUUUAAUAAAAAUAAUAAAUAAUUUAAUCAUAUUUUAACAUAAUUAUUAUUAAAUAUAAUUUAAUAAAAUAAUAUAUAAUUUAAUAAAAUUCUUAAUAUAAUUAUUACUAUAUGAAUUAAAAAAUCAUAAUAUAUAAUACUAUAAAAAUAAUAUAUAAUCUAUUUUAUUAUUUUUAAACUGCACUACAUAUUUAAUGUGCUAAAAUAUCAUUAGUGAAACAAAUAAUUUGAUUAUUCUACAAUACAAAACAAAAUAUAAGAAGUAAUAAAUAACUUGAGAAUUAUAUUUCACAUCCAAACAUAAUAUUCAUAUAUUAACAAAAAGUUACAUGAUUUCAUUAGUUUAUAUGUCAUCAUCCAUAUGUUAUAAAAUUUUACAACCUCAAAAAGUUACAACAUUGUAAUGACAUUCUAUCAUGUCAUUAUACCAUCCAAAUAUUACAAACACAAAAAGUUACCAAAAUAUCAUCAACAGAACCAUGAUUUUUAAUGGUCAGUAAGAAAUCUUUUGACCCAUUCCAAUCGAUUAGUUAGAUACUUCAAAUCGAAGUGAAGCAUGAUAGAAGAUUAUCAGACAAUAUAAAACAAUCAUUGAUUGCAUUAAAAAAAGAGUAGGUUUGAUUGUGGUAUAUAUGAUUAUUAGAGUGUAGUGUUUUUGGAUUUCAGUGUCUUUUAUUUUUCUAGGUAUGAGAGAUGGGUUGGGUAUAACUAGAUCUUAAUAUCAAUGGGUCCUUGUAAUUAAUGAUAGUUGAGAACAAUAUAACGGUGUAAAGAUAGAAUAAGAUACUUUGGUUUCAAAAGUAUCUUCCACUUUAAUUUUCUAUUAUAAAGAUAUGAUUAUUUUUUUAACUUCUUUAAAUUACUUUUAUAAAUUCAAUAAUGAAACCAAAAACCUAGCAUUUAAGGGGUUGAUAUAUAUUAAUUAAUAAUAACAAAAGACUCAUUAACAACAUUUCUUUUAAGCAAAGAUUAAGCAUCACCCAAGUUUCCAUCCUUGUCAAUCUGCAACCUGUUUGUUUAUUUUUAACUAGAUAUACAAUAAUUUCUUUUAAAAAUAAAAUAAAAUUACAAGCUAAAUAACUACAAUAAAAAUCGAAUAUUACGAUACUAAUUAUAUACGUGGGACUUAAACUCAUUACCAUUAAAUUAAGGUAUCUUAAGUUAAAUUAGACUAGAUUAUGAUACAUGAUUUAUGUAAUUCAUCCCCUUCCUAUAUUUGUAAGGAUAAAAACAAAAAGAUAGUUACAAUAAUUUAUUUAGCUAUUUAAAUUUUUUUAAUUAUUUUAGUUUUUUUUAAAUUCUUGGUUUUUUUUAGCUUUUAAACUUGUGUUAUUUGUCGAAUCACGAUCUUAGAUCAAUAAGUAAUUAAUUUUUUAAAAUAUAAAAAUUUUAAAAAUUUGUUUAAGAAAAACUAAAAUGUAUUAAAACUAUUAAAAAUAAAAAUUACAAAAAGUAUUUUUUAAUUUUUAAAAAUUAACCCACGUCAACAAAGUUAACACACAAACUUUUUCAUUCAUUUCGGAGUGAUUUGAUAAAUAAUGUAAGCUCAAGGGAUAAAACAAGUGAAAAUUUAAAUGGAUGAUUAAAACGGCUUUUUUGUAAAGUUAAAGGACAAAAUAAGUCAUUAUACAAAAAAUAUUAAAAGAAAAAGAAAGCAACUCACAAGUAAAAUGUUGUGGCAAAGUUUACCACUCAGCAACCACAGUAUAAUGUUACUUUUCCAACCAAGUUUCAAGCAAAGCCUGGAUGUGACUUGCCAUGAAAAUUUUAUCACUUUGCAAGUUGGCAACUACCCUACAAUCUAUAUACAACAAUGCUCUGCAGAUGAUGAGGAUCAAAUACUCAUUUCAUCUAUGAUUGCGGAUAUAGAACAUAGAGACUGUAAUUCCCACAAUAAUCUAUACAUAAUCAUGUUAAGCAUCUCAUGUUCUUACAUAUGAUUCACACAUUCCUUUCUGCUUGGAAUAAAGCCACCACUAAACCAAGUACCAGGUGUGCUAACAAAUAAAUAUACUUUCUUGCAAUUUUUAGCUAUUUGUUAUAAGCUAAGUAACCCGAACACUGUCCUAAAAGAUUCUUUUUUUGUUUUUUUAUUGCCAGAAGAAUCCAGAAAAAGUUCUAAUAUAUACAUUGUUCAUGUAUUCGUAUCCAACAAACACUCACACACAUGAAAAAUUCAGAAGCAAGGAAUUAAAAAUGUAGUGGUGUGUGUAACCCACAGGCCUCAACCAUGUCUUGUUUUUGUGAUUAGGGCUUUAAACACCACCAAAUUUGGAUUUAAGGAGCUGGUUACCAUCACAAAAGCAUAUCAAAUAAACUGCAUUGUGCAUAUUAUAUAGCCAACCCCUGUAUGCCAUAUUAAAAUCAUUCCUAAAUUGACAAUCAAUACAUUGGGUACUCAGUCAAAUUUUCCAUCUAAAUCAUCAUAUAAGAAUUAUAUGAGGAUGCAAAAUUGAAGAUGUCUCACCUCACAAUCUAAUGUACUUCCAUAGAAAAGGACAUCCCCCAACAAACAAAAUUGUAUAGAAUUGUUGAGGCAGGUCUUUAUAUUAAAAUGAACCUGAAAUAGUAGAGGAAUCUGUUCAUCUAAUAGGUGUAGUUAAAGCUUAGCUUAAAUAACUUUCGAAACCUUCGAAAUUCAGACUUUUUUAGGGGAAGUAGUAGUGAAUGUUGCAACGCGAAAUUCAUGAUAAUGGAAGUUUGGAAGUGAUGCGUCUUCAGCUAUUAGAAUAAUAGGAAAAGAGAAUUCAAGUUGGAAAGGUGAUUGGUGAAUAGGACAGGCACUUAGCACUGUCAUUUCUUCAGCCUUGAAAUGCUUUUGUUCUGGCCAGCAACCUCAACCAAAAUGAUCAAUUGCGCCUUAAAGUUUAUGUUAAUAGAAGGGCCAAGUCUAAACGUAGGAUCUGGAAUCCUGCGAAUCAACGUCUGAAAUUAAACGUAAAAAAUUAUGAACAAGUAAGGGUAACAUUUAUUAUUAUUAUUAUAAAUAAAUGAAUAAAUAGAAGUGAAACGUAAAAUGUUUAAACCAAAAUUUCUUUGUUUUAGAAGUUUAUGAUUAGGUCUUCUUAAUUGGUUUUAAUUUAAUUCUUAACUUUAAUUUGUUUUAUUAUUGAAUUUCAUUUAAAUUUAUGAAAGUGAGUAUUCUCAUGUGUUAAAACAAGGUUGACUUUAAAAAUCUAUGAACUUUUUAUUUUAUUUCAAUUAAAAUUUAGUUUAAUAAUUUUAAUGCAUUUGAAUAAAUUUAAUUUAUUAUCAUCAAUAGUUGUUUCAUACUAUCACUUUUUCUUUAUAUAUAAUUGUUUAAUUAUUAUUAUUAUUAUUAUAUAUUUUUUCACACUUUAAUAUAUAAGUUAAAAUUAUAGUGAAAUGGUAAGAAGGUUAAAAUAUAAUAAUUGAAAAUGAAUAUUCUUUUUAAUGCCACACAGCCUAGAACACGGGCAUGUGUCUUGGCUGUGUGAAACUUGUACCUAAUUCGAAUUAAAUUAAUUAACCACACGGCCUAGCACACAGGCGUGUGGCAUGGCCGUGUGUGCAAGUCAAAGAGUUACAUGGGGUCAAACACAGCCUCUAACGUGGGCAUGUCCCAGGGUCACACGGGCGUGUGAGCCCUGCACCUUAGAAAAUUUUUUUAAUUUCGCGAAGAAUUCUUUGAGAUCUCGAUUAAGUCCCAAUUCAAUUCUAAUGCUCGUAUUAGACCUCGAGGGUCCAAUUAAGGGAUGUUAUGAAUAAUCUUGGUUAGUGAAUAGUGACUUGCAUGAAUUAAUUGAAAAAUGUUCUGAACAUUUUGGUAAUGCUCUGAUACACUGUUCUGGCGAUGGGUACAGGUUAGGGGUGUUACAUAUUUUAUACGUCUUCUUAUGGUCAUUUGCACACUUACAAAGUUCAUUAGCUCACCCUUUGGCCUCAUUCGGCCCCUAAGUUCAAUAAAAGACUGAAUUUGUGCAUUUUAUUAGAUUUAACAAAGCUUACUAAAACAUAAUAAUAUCUUAAUGAUAAUGCUUAAUUUCAAGCUCCUAAAGUGCGAAAAGUAGUUUAAUCUGCUACACCGAAUUACUGCAGAUCAACUGUAACAUCGCCUCUGUACGAGAAAUAAUUAUUAGCCAAGGGUAUUUUCGUUCGCACAACCAAACAUUAACCACAAGGACAGCAACUAACCUAGGGUUAAGAAUACAACCAACCCAAAGUCUAUAAAUAGGCUCAUUUAGCACAUGUUAGACACAUCUUUCAUAUUGUAUGAUUUUCUCUAUAGAUUUAAUAUUUAGUUUUUCCCUUUUCUUAGGUUUUUAGAUUUCUAUGUUUGUUAUUUAUUUUUGUGGAGAAAUCAGAUUCUGGAAUUACUUUCAAACACUGUGAGGAUUAUGCACUUAAUUUCAAUACAAAUGAGGCUUUUUCUAAACUGUAUUCUUGAAUUGUUCUUUAUGUUCGUUAUUUCCAUCAAGUUUAUAUCAUUUAUUAGAUCCUUGAGGAACUAAUCCUCCUAUGGGGGAUUAGCAAUUGGAGGUAUGAAUAAUUAACAUUUUUGUAGGGAUUUCUUAACGGAUGAGCUAUUUAGGAAAGGAAAAAUCUAAAACCUAGGCCUAACAACCCUACGAAGUCAUCAAGGUCAAAAUUAACCAAAAGUUUGGCCAAUCCAUGAACACCUUGACCCUAAAUCGAUUUGAGCUGUAAGGUUGAAAGAUAAGUAGUUCUUGUCGAUUCAAUAUUUCAGUGGACAAAUUGAAAGAUUCUACUAGGGUAUUGACCAGUUGAUUGAACAAGAAAGCCCAAGACAACAGUUGAUUAUAACUACCAAAGUGAGCUAAUCGUGCAUACCAUAUUUGAUACAUAUUGACUAUUGGAUUUCUCUUUUUUCAUUUAUUUCUUUUCUUAUUAUUUUUAGGAUAGUUUAUCAAAAAUCUUUCUUUUGAUGCUUCAUACUAUAAUCCAAUUAAAAUACUAAUUAGAUCUAUUUAUAUUUAGGUUAAAAUUAAUUUAAUGCUUGCCUCCAUUGAGUAUGAUCCUCGGAGUACUUACCUACUCCGUUGUAACUAUAUUACAACCUCACUUGUAUACUUGCGGAUAUUGCUUUUCACAUCUUUUGUGUAGGAUUUUUACUCUGGACGUUGGUACGUUCGGAGGCGGUCAGUUUGCAAUCAACUACAACUCCGUAUUCAUAUAGCUAAUCCAUACCAAAAAUAAUAUAAAAUUCAGGAAACGAAAAUGCCAUAAGACUAACUGGAAAUUCGCAAUCUUUAAUUUUUUAAAGGGCAACACCUAUAUACUCUAUUUACUCUCUCACUUUUCCUGAAAGAAUUCAUUACUAUAACCUAAUGCUUAAUAAAUUCUAUUGGUAAUUCUUUUUCUUUGACUAAUGCCAUGCAAAUAUACGAAUAUGUGGCACUGGGAUCAAUCAAAUUAAUUACAAAUAAUGAAAAUAAUGAAAAUUUAUUGGUGAUUACAUCAAGUGUUUCUCCUUCCUAUCGAGUCCUGCUAGCGUAUGUGCAAGGUACCCAAUAUUCUGCUUUACAUAUUGUUUCCCUUGUUGACAUUUGACCACUUCCAUUACCAGUAACAAUUCUAGAUUUUUAGCCUCUUUGUUGUCCUAAGCUACCAUUCACUGACUGUUCUAUUGUAUUCUUUGAUAGUUUUGGGGAAUCCCAAAUCAUAUAAUUCUUAGGACCAUAUCAAAAACAAGUUUGAGAAAUCAAUUGAAACUCACCCAAAUGAGGUUUUUAACAGUGGUCGCACAACAUAAUAGAUUUCUUCCUAGAACCUCUAGUACUAGCCACUGAAGUUGUUUGUUGUGUUUGCCUUGACUAACCUCUAAUUUUCUGCUUUUCGAUGGGUGCUAAAUAUCUAGACCCUCUAAAAUAUCUAGUCCUCUUUGAUGACGGUGGUGGCACAAAGCUAGUUGCAACUUGUUUUCCAGAACUUUUCUCUUUCUUUCUACUUAACCCUUCUUCUAUCCUUAGAGUCCGAUAAACUAACAGUAGGAAAUCUUGUAAAUUCAGGGCAAGAAUAGGAACAAAGUGUAACAGCCCGAUUUAGGGCCUAGUCGAAACAGUGGUCUUGGGACCAAAAAUCUAAAGUUAGAAAGACUAUUUUAUUAUUAUUUUGAUGUUCUAGCAUUAAUAUAUUAGUGCAUGAAAAAAAUUGGUAAGUUAAUUUUGACGUUUGUGAGCCCAAUUACGAAAAAUGACCAAAUCGCAUAGUGUAAAAGUCCUAAAUUGAUAGCUAAAGGUGUUAUUUUGUUAGAGAACCAAAAUUUGGGGUCUUUAAUGGGAAAAUAGACCCUUAAUUGAUAGUAUAGCCGGCUAUGAGACAUAGGGGAGACAAUUUUCAAAAUUAGGUGGAAAUUUGGUAGCUAUUUUGACCAAAAAGAAAUAAAAUAGAAAAAGUUGUCAAUUUCUUUUCUUCUCAUCUCUUUCCACUGAAAAUAUCAGCCAUGAAAGGGGGUUUUAAAGCUUAAAUUUUUAGCAACUUGAAGCACUUGCAAGUAAGUGGUUUUGAUAGUUUCUCUUAAUGAUUUUUACAUUUUUUGACUCCUUGAAGCAUAAGCUUUCAAAUGAGGGGUCUAUUUUGCAAAAUGAUUAAAGAGUUUAAGGUUUUUCUAUGAAUGCAUUUGUAGUGUUUGCUGAGUUUUUAUGGAAGAAAAUGAGUCCUAGUUGUGUUAUAAACAACUUUUGUGAGUGGUGCUAGCAUGAAAACACCUAAAGUGACUACUUUGCAUAAAUUGCAAAAUAGGUGAUAAGUGUGUGAAAUAGUGGGGUUUUGGAGUUGUUAUAAGAGUAAAAAGAGUUUGGCUAGGUUGAAAUACGAAGAAAUUUGAUAAAAAUCAAUUUUCGAGUAUAGGGGCAAAAUGGUCAUUUUGCCUAAUACGUGAAUUUUGGAUUGCCUGCUUUUAUUUAGUGACUAAAUGAGUGUAUUUUUCUAAUAGAGAUCAAGAUUUUCCAAAUAUGAACCUAGAUCAAGGGAAAGCCAAGCAAAUCGACUAAACCGACUAGUUGUGUGUAUUUUUGUAAUCCGAGGUAAGUUGUAUAUAAAUAGUACAACUACAUUGCUAAUGUAUGUGUUGAAUUGCAUUUAAAUUUAAUAUAGCAUGAAUUGCUUGAUUGUGGAAUUGAGAAAGUAUGAUGAUAAUAGAGAUAGUAGAGUUCUCGUUGAACGUAAGAAAUAAUCUGGAUAUUCAUGUCGUGACAUUAGGGUCCCUUGUGUGAGCUAGUGUUAGACAUGUCUGGGACAUGCAUCGGCCACAUUAUAAGAGCCAAUGUAAGACCAUGUUCAAGACAUGGCAUCAGCAUUGAGAAAAUGACUAGUGUAAGACAUGUCUAGGACAUGCAUUGGGCUCGAGACGUAAGCCAGUGUAAGACAUGUUUGGGACAUGCAUCAGCUACGAGAUGAUAGUCAGUAUAAGACCAUGUCUGGGAAAUGGCAUCAACUUGAGAUAUGAACUAGUGUAAGACCAUGUCUGGGACAUGGCAUUGGCACCUUACCCAUGUUUGAGGCUUAAUGAAUACCCGGUGAUAUUCCGAAUGGUUCAACGAUGAAUGUUAAGUGCUUGGGCUAAUGAAGAAAGUAUAAUCAUGUUGUGAAUGGUACAUGUAUCUAAUUGGUACGUAUGAAAUAUGAGCUGAAUAUAUAAAAUGUGACUUGUAUGGAUGGUAGUAAGUUACAACUAUGCCUACUUUGAUGUUGUGAGCAUGUUGAUUAUGAAUAAAUGUUGUGGUAUACUUAUUUAUAUGAGACUUACUAAGCUUUAUGCUUACUCCCUUUCCUUUCCCUUUUCUUUCACUACCGCCUAACUGGCUCAAGGAUCACUGGAAGUCAGAGAUAUCGAUCACACUAUCAGCCGAAAUAUUUGGAAUAGUUGGAUUUAUAUUUUUGAAUAUGGCAUGUAUAGGAUUAGAACUUAUUAUUUUAAGUCUUGGAGAAUUGGCCAAAUGUGUUGGCUUGGGAUAGAUCCCACACUUAGUAUUAAGCCAUGAAUGAUGGCUAAUAUUUAUUUUGAGUUUAUAAAAGUUGCAUUUGCAUGGUUGAAUGAACGUCUAUUGUAGCUAAAUUGAUUUCGGGAAAUUAUGCUUGUUUUGGUAUUGGCUGGUAUUUGCAUGAAAAGAGGUAUGCAAGGGUGGCAAUGAGGUUCGAUAAAUAGCCUUAUAUUGUCCACAUGGGUAGACAUACGGGCAUGUGUCUAGGUCGUGUGUGACACACGGUCAACCCUAUGGCCGUAUGGUCCGGCCGUGUGACCCCUGCACGUAAAAAUUUCAAGUUAGUAUGCAUGAAAAUAAACACACGGGCAGAGACACGGUCGUGUGUCUCAGCCGUGUGGAGGCCACAGCCUAGUACACAGGUGUGUGCCAUGGCCGUGUGACAUUUUAGGGAUGCUGACGUCAGAAAUAGAAUACCCAUGUUUUUACACACGGGUUAAGACACGGGCGUGUCGUGGCCGUGUGAGGGACACAGGCCAUUGACACGGGCAUGUGUUUGGUCGUGUGAAAACCCUGUAGGUGUGAAUUAGAAUUUAAUUCGACACGGGUGUGGGACAUGGGCAUGUUCCAGGGUGCUUAGGUCAUGUGAGCCACACGGACCAUCAGUACGACCAUGUUGAAUUGGUCACACGGGCUUGUUACCCUUCCACAUAGGCGUGUGCCCUAUUUUAAGACAAAUUUCUUAAGGUUGGUUUAAGGACCCGGAAUGGUUCCGAAUAGUUUUUAACAGUCGAUUUGGGGCUCAUAGGCCCAUAGUAAGAAGUUUAAAGUAGAAAUUGAAAAAGUUUUAAUUUGGACCAAGUCUCGGUGACUUGAGACUGUUUGUAUGCAUGAGAUAAAGUUAGGUAAUGCCUCGUACUCUGACCCGGCGUGGGUUACGGGUAUAGGGUGUUACACAAAUAUUUCUUCAUUCAACCCAUACUCAAAUCGUUGGCACAUAUCUGCCACUGUAGCAACUAUUUCUCUAGCAUAUGUACUUAACUUGACAAAUUCUCUCUCAUAUUCUACCAUUGCCAUAUUGUUUUGUUUUAAAUCUAGAAAUUCAUGUUUCUUCUGCUCUAGGUAAAGCUAUCCUACAUACUCCUCUAUAUAUUGUAGUUCUUCGAAUACUCUCUAACUAUUUUUUAACAAUUCCUCAACUUCAGCAAGAUCACCAUCUUUUUUUCCUUUAAACUCCUCUGCUCUAUACUUUCUAAAAUACUCUAGAGGAGAUCGAUGGCUGAGGUGUAGGAAAAUAGGAGGGGUGGUGGUAGAACAUUGUUUGUUCUCACGAGUUUUUGUAACAACUGAUUCAUCGAUUGUAAAAUAGCUACGGUAAUUGAAACUUCUUCUUUCAGAAGAUUGCUUUUGUUCUUCUCUAGCCAACCCUAGAUUUACAGGGUCACCUAGCUCAUCUUGCACUUGAGGCUAGGUCAAUUCCUUUCUCUUUCCAUAUUUGACACCCUACUUUUAAGCUCAUCUUUCAAACCUUCUUGAGAUCUAUACGACAUCUUCAGAUUUCUCUAUAAUUCAUAAAUUCAUAAUUAACUAAACAUAAUCUCAUCACAUCAAUAUAUCUUAUAUGGCAUGUACAUCUAGACUCGUUCUCGACUUAAAUAUCAAAUAACCUAAGCUCUAAUACCACUAAAAGUAACGCCCAUAUACUCGACCCGGUUAUUGAACCAAGUAUAGAAGUACUACAUUGCAAAUCAAAAUGGUCAACUUAAUGUUUCAUUUAUAAAAACUUAAUUGUUACAAGUUACUCAGCUUAAAAUUACAUUAUUAAUAUUAAUUGCGAAAUCGAUAAAUAUAUCUUAGGUCAUCAUUGCAUUUACAACAACAUUUUGGGGUCAAAAAUAAAAUUUGGAGAAAUGCAGGGCACACGACCAUGUUCCCACGCCGUGUAUGUCUCUGAGGCCAUGUGGUUUAUUUAAACACUACCUCCAAUAAUCACACGGUCGUGUGUAUGACCCAUGUGAGCCACAAGGUCCUGUCCAUAGCUUGUGUAACAAACUAGAACUGUGUGGUUCUAAGAACAACUUUUCCCAUAAGAUACACGGUCGUGCCACUAGCACGUGUAUACCACACGAUCGUAUGGUUAGACUAUGUAACUUUCGAAAGCUGUGUCCCCUAUAGUUUGAAAUAUUUGAAAACUUCUAAAAAAAAUUCUUAUAACUUAUUCCCUACAAGAAAACUCAAUUUUCAUUCCAAUCAUAAUUCCAAUUUUAGUAUAAAAGACACUCUAAAACUUUUAGAUUAUCAUACAACAUUAAUAUACUAAGAUUUCAUUUAAAUCCUUCAAAAAUUAAAAGGUUUGUAACAUAGACCAUCAUACUUAAAUCCUUAACUUAAAAACCUAUGUACAUGUCUCUCUAACCCAAAAUUUAGAAGUCAUACUCUUUUUGGCGUUAGGAUGUAAUGAGACGAGCAAGUCUUAGACCACUUUCUAGCUUCUCCUCUCGUCUUUAACCUACGCAUUAAGCUAAAAUAGCUUAGUAAGUACUGCAAGAAUUUAAUCAUAAACCUACAUAUUAUAUUGUAAUUAAUAUGAGUAAUUUUCUAUAAUUUUAAUCACCCUCGAUUAAAUUAUACUUACCAAUUCACGUUUGACAUUUAUUGCCUAAAGUGGAAUGAUUAGAAUAAUUAGGACAUAUGGAAAGGAACUGAACAUCGCCAUCACGAAUAAACACCGCCAAAGCGGAUAACUGAGCACCGCUGAAGCAAAUAAACAAUAAGUGCGCAAUAUAUUCCUUAAUGGCAUGGCAUCAAUAUCCUAAUAAUUCACAUCCUUCUACUUGGCCGUGAUAUCAAUUAUGCAAAUUUUUAAUUUAGUCAUUGAUCUUAUAAUUUCACAUAUAACUUCCAUUUCAUUUAACAUCUUUACCCCACACACAAUAAUCUCUUUAUUCUUAUUCACAUUUUUAUACCAUAGUUUACCAUCUUUAUAAUUUAGUCAUUUACAUUGCUACUACAGAUAAAACUAAGAUUUAAACAUUUAAUUGGUAAUUUCUAUUAUAGAUAUCUAAAAAAAAUGAAAUUAAAUCCUUGUAGUACUUACAACCAAGGUUUGUUUAAUGAUUCUUCUUACUUCUUCAUUCAUUGGCUACACCUUUUUCUUUUUCUACAAUUUGGUCUUCUUCUUUCUUCUCUUUUUCUUCAUUUCCAUAACCAGUACAUAGCAUUUACUAGUUAAAAUAAUGUUUAGAUAACAUAUUUAUGCUCAAAAGUAAAAAUAAUAUGAACUUCAUAAAGAUUUUCCUAUCUCUUAUCGUGAUUUCAUGAUGUCACAAUUAACCCUAACUUUUCUCUUUCCUUUCAAGUAAUUAUCAACUCCUUUUUCAUGAAGCUAAAGUAUCUACCUUGCUCUACUCUUGAUUUGUUUGAGAAAUCAUGAAAUAAAAAUGAAGAAACAAGCUUGAAGGACACAAAAAUGGCGAAAAUGACUUAGAUGGAAUAAGAGUGAAAGUUUGGUUUUGAGAGAAAAAGGAAGUGACGGGUGGGUUAGAAGAAAAAGAUGAAGACUUUCUCCUCUUUUCUUCUUUCUUCUACAAUCUUCAUAAUAAAAAUAUCAUGAUUUUUACGAAAAAUGGCUAAAUUGUCCUUCAUCCUAUCAUCUGUACACUUUGGGCCAAAUCAUUAUCCAUAAAUAUCUUACUUUGCUAAUUACUAUUUUAACCUUUAUCAUCUUUACAAUUCCCAUGCAGGAAUCACAUUUUAUUUCGUAAAAUUUCUUUCUAAUCCUUCCUUGUUUUCCAUCUACUCUAUGUUAUUAACUUAACUUUUAAUUUUUACACUUUUGCCUCACUAUUUUUCAUUUUCCUGCAUUUUAGUCAUUACCUCAAAUCAAACUUUCCUAUCCCAAAAAUAUUUCUAAUUUCUAUUAGCUCUAACUACUUUCUAUACUUUUACCCUACAAUUCCUAUUUAAUCUAUUUCUAAAAAGUUUUUAAUUUUCCUAACGUGACACGCCAUUUAACCACACCCUCUAUACUUUGAUGAUGUUAUAUUUCUCCCCCUUUUAAAUAAAAAAUUUCAUCCUCAAAAUUUCACUUGAUUCAAACAGCUGUGGAUACUGCUACUUUUUUUUUUCUCAUAUAGCUUCUUCAACAUUAUAGUGCCUCCGCAACACUUUUACCUAGGGAACCGUUUAUUUUUUAAUUUUUCUACAUUCAUGUGGCUAGGAAUGGGUGCUAUAAGUUGGCACUUAUGCCUUUUAUUCCUCAAUUUGCAAGAAAUAUAUGAAUUUUAAGUAAAAGAAAAUGACAGUAAUAUGAAAACAACUAUAUGGCUUUUCGUUGUAGUGUCCGAUUAUUGGUUGGUCAUUUAUUUAUAUAUAUACACAUAUAAAUGCAUAUAUCACAAUUUUAAUGUGAAGCAAAAUUUUUAAAAAUAAAAUGUGAUUUGUGUGGAGAUUUCUGUAUCAAGAUAGAAUGUUAAUGCUAAAAUUUAAAAAUUGAAUUUAGAUUAGAGUUUUAAUUUUUAAAUUGACUUAAUAUAACUUUAUAAGUUGAAGUUUAUGAAUUAAAUUAUUAAACACUAUAAAUGUAAGUUUAAAUUAAAAUGAAUGAUUGAAUUGAUAAAAUUAAAAAGUAGAUUAACUGUUUUGACAACAUAAUGGCAUCACAUAUUUAGAUUCAAUCAUCAAUGGAAUCAGGUGUGGAGUGGGGUGUUAAUGGAAAUCUGGUUGGCUCAUGUUAACCAAAUGUAAAGAUAUCAUUUAAUAAUUUAGAUGGUAAUUUUCUGUCAUCAGUCACCCGAAUCGUAAGUGCAUAUAUAUAUAUAUAUAUAUAUAUAAAGGAAGUCCCAAGGGACCUCCUUUGUUGACAUACAGGCGCAUUAAUAUUAGUAUUUUUUUUAAAAUCACAAAAAAUAAGUUGAUUGAGUUUUAGUUCGAUUGAUAAGGGUAUUAUUGUCAAUACAGAAGGAUAUUAAUUUGAGUGUGUUGAAACGUAUUAUCUUUUUAUUUAUGGGUUGGGGAGAGAAUAUGAAUAAUUUUAGGCAUUGUAUCAAAAAGAGCACAUAUAAUAUUUUUAUUUUAACUUUUAACAUAAUUUGAUUUUAAUAUUUUUAUAAUGUUAUUAAUUAGUCUAAAUAGUUAAUAUAGUUAAUUUUUUAUUGAAAUAUUACAUAGUUAUAUAAUCACAAUCUAUAAUGAGAUUGUUAAAAAAGAUAAUAAAAAAUAGUUAAAUUUCACUUUGGUCCCUCUAUUAUGUCUAAAGUAAAAUUUAAUAUUUUUUAUUUUAAUUUUUAACAUAAUUUGAUUUUAAUAUUUUUAUAAUGUUAUUAAUUAGUCUAAUAGUUAAUAUCAUUAUUUUUUAUUAAAAUAUUACAUAAUUAUAUAUAAGAGUAAUUUUUUUAUUAUAUUUUUAUAUUUAUAUAAAAUUAUGGAUUCAAUUCUAUCAUAAGUACCAAGACAACAUGAACUUCCCAGAGGAUUAAAGCAUCACAACAAUUUGACAGCAAAAAAAAAAACAAAAAAAUAGCAGCACAGCAAUUGAGCCUUUAGCAACCAAAACUUUAGGGAGAUAUUAAGACCUAAUCCUGGGGUUCAACUUCAAAUGCAAGCAUUCUAAAUGAUGGGGUUUCCAAAAUUCUAUUAGUUCCUUGAAACAGAACCAAGGAAAGUCAGCUUCGACGAGCUCUUCAUAUAAUAAUAUUAGCUCUUGGGUCUAUAUUCACCCUUAGCAGAAAUGAGCUGGUUGCUCCAAAACUUGCACCACCACCCUCAACUGCUAUGAGUAGAGGAAGAGAGAUGGACCCAUGCCAAGCCAUCAUCUGAGUGGCAUCCUCUUUUGGAUUUUCUUUGAUACUUGGGGUUUGCUUCUACUAGAAUGAGUUCUUCUCUUUUCUUUUUCGUUUUCUCUUUUAAUAUGAUUUGAUAGAGCUGUCAUCCCCUUUUGUAUAGAGCUCUGCCAGAUCCCUAAAAGUAAAUUUAUACAUCUAUGGAUGACAAUCAUAUGGCCAUUACGGAUGGCAUUGUUUGCUAUAUAUCAUAGUUUUGAUAUGGGUUUGUUUGUAGCUUUAUCAUUGUAAUAGGGAUUACAUGUAAAAGGUGUGUUAUCUCAAUUAGUAUUUGCUUGUGCAGUGCUGUACACUGUAAUUGUUCGAGAUCACCUCAACUUUUGCAAUAAGAAAUAAAAAUAAAUCUGAAUUAUAAAGUAUAUAUAUUAUAUAAAAAUAUUGAAUUAUAAAAAAUUAUAAAAUGAAUUAAGUUAAAACAUACAAUACUAAAUAGUUUUUAGAAUUCUAUUUUAUAUUAGCGGUGUAACAAUAGUUUUUAAAUUUUAUUCUUUUAGGCUGCACGUUAAUGAUGUUUGGAGGAAAUAAAGAUUAUUGAUACAUUUUAAUGUUUUCGAUUUAAGCAUCAUAUACCUUAUUUUGUGUUAGGUGGUGCUCUUCUCAAUUUUUAAAUUUUAAUUUUAUUUUUGUAUUUAAUAUUUUUAUCAAAUUUUUAAAAUUUUUAUGUGUGUGGAGUCUAUCUCCAUCCUAAAACUUUAAACAUGUUAUUUCUUUAUCUGCGUGGGUUCACUCUCCUCGAGUUUUUAAAUUUAAUUAAUAUCAUUUUAUCAAUUUUUAAAUAUUUUUGUUUAUGUGCUUUUCAUUACUUCAUUUACUGCAUGGGUCACUUUCACCUUAAUUUAAUAUUUUUUAAUGAGUAUCUUUGAUUUUUAUUAAAUUAUUAGAUUUCGUUAUGUAUUUAAUAAAUAGUUUUAAUAUAAUAUUUUUCAUUUAUAUUUGGAUAAAAAAGAAUUUAAAGAAAAAUCUUUUUAUUUCUUUAAAUGAAAAAUGUAACUUUCUUAAUUCGUCCUAGAUGUUAAGCUCGAAUUCGAGAGAUUACAUUGGCCACUAAAAUGACCCAGUAGACUAUCGAAGUUUAUAAACAAUCAUUUUAAAACAAUCGCUUAUUUUAGAAGAAAACUUAGUUUAUUUUCAGAAAAAACUCAUGAGUUAACAAAAAA
rnacentral:lncRNA from 1 species